UACGUAGGGUGCGAGCGUUACUCGGAAUUACUGGGCGUAAAGCGUUCGCAGGCGGUUUUGUAAGCCAGAUGUGAAAUCCCCGGGCUUAACCUGGGAAUGGCAUUUGGGACUGCAAGGCUUGAGUGCGGCAGAGGAGACUGGAAUUCCUGGUGUAGCAGUGAAAUGCGUAGAUAUCAGGAGGAACACCGAUGGCGAAGGCAGGUCUCUGGGCUGACACUGACGCUCAUGCACGAAAGCGUGGGGAGCAAACAGG
rnacentral:rRNA from 1 species